rnacentral:lncRNA from 1 species
CGGCGGCGGCUCGUCCCUGAGCUGGAAGCUGGAGAGCAAGCCCCGAAGUUCACUGUUUCAAGAAAUCGUGUAAUGCUACAUUAAUCAGAGAAAGGAAGGAUCCUGAAACUUACGGCCUGAUUGUUGGCAAUGACAUCGUUAAGAGGCUGGCACUCAUUUGUGUUCUAAAUAGCUACUUUAGAACUGUGAAUAGUAACUAUGCAUAUUUGUUGGUCAGCAAAACCAAGGAACAAGAGCUAUGGCAGUUGAAAAAGUCUGUCUAAUUCCAGGGUAUUUUUCCUGGGUGUCAUCAUCAGGGACCUCUUCCCUUUCAUCUCAUCAACAGUGUG